CACCUGGGAGCCACCUGCUGGUGAAAAGAACAUAAAAGCAAAAGCAUAUUAUGCUUUCUUUGCCUUGAGGUGUGAAGGCUUUCCUUGGCUGGAUUAUCUGGUGGUGUUGCUUGUCAACACUGGUGUGGUGUAGAGCCACAGACCAACUCAGCACCUGUUGUUGAGAGCUGGUGCAGUCAUAUCUGUUGGAUGCUCAAUACUGAGAACUCCAAAGUUGAACUCAAAGGAGCUUCAAUGUCACAGACCAGGGGUCUUUUAACUUCAGACCUCUGUCUUGUGUCCUACAACUACUGGAUGUGCCUGCGUCACACAUCUAGUGAAAGACUGCCAAAUGUGUCGUAUGUUCUAAAACGACUGCAGGAUACCUGCCCUUAAGGCCUGGAUUUGAGGAGCUCCUGUUAUAACUUUUAACUUCAGGAGAGUGACUGUAUUUGAGUAUAUGUGCUAAGCUAGAGGCUAUGGCUGCAAAUUAUCAAGUUGGUCUUGUUAUAAACUAUUGUCCUUUAAUAAGUCCCUUUGUUUUGUGCCUGCUCUUUACAGUAGAAAGGUUGGGCAAUUACAGCAACAGCUUUAUAAAUCAGAUGUCCUCCAGAUUUAGCAAAACCCCGUUGCCCAGAACACCUUCUCCCCUAUCUGCCGACGAGCUGCAAGAAAUCUGAUCCACCGAAACCUCCAGAUCAAGGACACCCACAUCCCCCAAAACAUCCUUGCUGGCCACCACAUUGUCCUGAACCUGACCACCCUAAACGGCUGCCUCCUCCUUAUUGUCUGCACUAUUGUCCACGACCCCACCUCCCUGAUCAUCAUCAUCCCCAUCACUGUCACUGCCAGCUUUUUGCUCUUGUGGGAUCAAAAGUAUUUCAAUCUACAACUUUAAUAAUUCUCUGACCUAAUAUCUAACAUUAAGGAUUUUAAAUAAACCAAUGUAACUCCAAAAGCUGCAUUCUCAAUUUCUCAAAGGAAGGUUAAACUAGUCCUUGUAUAAACAUUGCAGGGAAAAAAAAAAAUCAAAAUUUAGCUUUGUGCUAAAACUAAAAAUGCCUUGAAGUGUGGAGACUUGGGUAAAAUGUGCUAAAAUGACACAAUGAUUCAUAAUGACUUGUGAACCAUUUGAUUAAAAUGUCUGCAGGGAUGUUGGUUGGGGUUGUAAAGUAGGAAUGUCUUUCUUCGAACUCUAUAAGAAUUGAUGUGGACACUGGUGUUUGUUUGCCCCCUGCUGGUUUUUACAACCCUCUACCUCUUUUUUUCCAUUCAUUUUCACAGAUGUUUAAUCCUUUCAUGGUCAUUGGUGCCACUGCCAUAUUGACCUUUUGUUUUAGCAAACAUGAUGUCUCCCUGGUGACUUGUUUUGAACACAUCUCACUGGGAGGAGACCCAGAGGAAAACUCUGGACACCCUGGAGGGACUAAGUUUCCCGGCAGGCCUGGGAACGCCUUGGGAUUCCCCUGGAGCAGCUGGCUCCAGUGGCUGGGGAGAGGGAAAUCUGGGUCUCUUUGUUCGCUGCUGCUUCCACGACCCGGCCCCAGAUUAAGUGGAAAAGGAUGGAUGGAUGGAGUAACAUUUCACCCAUUGUGUUUGAGAUUAACGAUUUGUGUUUCAGUUUAUAAAAUAGCAGCUAUUAUGUUUAAUAGCAGAGAUGUGUCCAUUUUAUGUAAAAUACUGAUUAAACUGCUUCAAAAAAACUACA